rnacentral:lncRNA from 1 species
AGUCCCAUAAAAAGCUUUGCAUACACUUGGACUGGAGAUGUACUAGAGCUACAAUGGGGUUGCUGUUGGAUCCUGCAGAAAUAGGGAGGCAUAUCCCAGGAAUUGGAUUUUACAGAUCAAAUCUAGUACAAAAAGUUAAGUAUAUUCUGCAGCCAAAAUGCUAUUAGGGCGUAUACUUCUGCCUUUAAGGUACCAAAUCUUUUAAUCAGCAUAAAACACUGCUCCUUUGGACUGCAAAUAAUUGAAGCUAUUUAUCAUGUGCUUAGCAGUUAAAUGAACUAUUUCUCUGCUGGAAUGCUACAGCUGUUUGUUAACACUGCACAGUUUCAGAAGAGUUUAAGUGAAAAAAGAGAAAACAAUCUGCUUAAAAUGUGUUUUAUGCUGUUCAUCACUAGAAGUAAUCCUUUUAACAAGAAACUCUUUCCUAGACCUAGAAGAUCAGAUGUGAUUCAGUAAGGUGAGUAUUGAUUAAAUAAUGUACCCAUCCACCUGGGAAUGAAGUUCAGAGAGUUUGUAGGAAAAAUUAGCCUAAAUUAUCACUGAAUAAAAAAUAAAUAUUAUUUAUUAAUACA